rnacentral:tRNA from 4 species
GCGACCGUGGUGUAACGGUUAACACUGGUGCUUGUGGAGCACUCGAUCCGAGUUCAAUUCUCGGCGGUCGCCCCG